UACAGAGGGUGCAAGCGUUGUUCGGAAUUAUUGGGCGUAAAGGGCGCGUAGGCGGUGCGGUAAGUCUGUAGUGAAAUCUCUGGGCUCAACUCAUAGUCUGCAUCGGAAACUGCCGGGCUUGAGUGUGGGAGAGGUGAGUGGAAUUCCUGGUGUAGCGGUGAAAUGCGUAGAUAUCAGGAGGAACACCUGUGGCGAAAGCGGCUCACUGGACCAUAACUGACGCUGAGGCGCGAAAGCUAGGGGAGCAAACAGG
rnacentral:rRNA from 1 species